rnacentral:lncRNA from 1 species
CACAACUUGUGCCAAAAUGCUCUUAGUGAUAGAUAAAAGGAGCCAAUUAAGAAGUAAUUGGUCCUAUUUUUGGAAAGUUGAGUAUGGAGAAUUCACAACUGCUUUAUGUGAUUGUUCGUAAGUUCGAAUACCAAGGACAAAUUUUAUUGGGCACUUAUGCCAGCCAUCAAUGUAUCCUCGUAAGUCAUAUCCUCUUAGUGCAGGUAAAAUGUAUGACUUCUAUAGUGCAUAGUUAUUUUUAUCCAACUUAAUCAAAUUUAGAUAAGGUAAGUUGGUAGAGGAUGGAGUACUAUUUGUGGCAAUGGUCUAGGAUGAGAAAAGAAUGUUAUUGAUUGAUGAGUUUUCCAUGGUUGAAGGAAAUGAUAGUUUCUCAGAUACCAUGAAAGAGUUUAGAUCGAAUUGAUGUUAUAUUGAUGAAUUAUUUUUAGUGAUACAUCUGAUAUUGAAAUAUACAUAAGGGAGACGACCCAAGAGUCCAAAGUGAACUGAAAGAAUACUAAAAUCUAUCUAGAGUAACUAUUUUUAAAUAUUCAAAAUAAGUCCAUCCUUAUCAAGGAAUACUAGAUAUCCUAACACCUCUCUUGGAUUAAUAUUAUAAACAUCAAGUCUCCCUGUAGUAGAAAGAGGCCUUGUUGAAAGAACAAAAUGCACAAAAGCAGCAUGAGUAGCUAAUCUAAUUCCAGGACCAUACCAAACAUUAGGAAAAACCAUAUGCAUACAUAAGGGGUUAUUGUAACAACUGUUGUGGCUGGAAUCAAAAUUGAUUUUUUUCAUUUUCUUCUUGACUUUCUUGGAUUUCCAGUUAGUAGAAGUCCUAAUUGAGGCAGGGACAGAGACUUGUGAAGUUUUCUUGAAAUACAGUCCCUAAAUGAUAAGAAAUUCCUCUACUUUUUCUUAUUUUUAGGGAUUGUUGGGUAGUAGUCAUUGGUUGGGCUAUUUAUGAGGAGAGAAGAAAUUAUGAAUCUUAUGCAAGUUAAAGGGAUGAUAGAAUACAUGGGGUCACUUUUUGAGAUGGGUUUCUUUUUCUUUUGGUUUGGUAUGGUGGAGAUUGUAUAAAUGUCAGGCAUGGUUGUGCCUAGAUAGAAUAUUAGAGAGAUAGAGAGAUAAGAGGAAUUUCUAAGAUGAAAAGACUGAAUAGAUAAAGAGAAAGAGCAUGUUCGAGGACCAGGAUUAUACACAGACUUCUAUAUUGUUUGUAUGGUCAUUUCCCAUGUAUG